AGUUGGAAUGUCCUGCAAUAUCUAACACGUAAGCACGUCACAUCGUUUUCUAGACAGAAUCGGAAUCUCACUUUUUCUGUCUCUCUCUCUCAUUCUCUUUCAACAUGGAAUUUGAAAAGCAUGAAAAAGGAAGCUUAUUAAACCAGAAUUUAGAGGAGAAACUGACGGUCUCUUCUGGUGAUUCUGAAGCCAAACCUCUGAUCUUCACAUUUGUCCCCACUGUCAGAAGACUACCAACCCAGUCCCAGUUGGGUGACACCUCUAAAUUCAUUGUUAAAAUUCCUGAGGAACCAAGUGAUAAGACUCCAGAAACUGUAAAUAGGUCUGAUUCCAAUGAGUACUUGACCUUGAAUGUUGGGAGCCAACGGGAGAGAGACCGAGGAACAUUGACUUAUCCUUUAGAGGUCAAGGACAAGGCUUCCCAAGGAAGGGGAUUUAAAGCAAACGAACCUCAAGGAAUGCAGCAAAGUGACCUCUUCAAAGCUGAAUAUGUCUUUAUUGUGGACUCUGAGGGGGAAGAUGAAGCUCCAAGCAGACAAGGUGAACAAGGCCCCCCAGGAGGGAUGGGCACCACAGCUGCUCGGCCCACGUCUCUAGCAAUCUCCUCCAGUCUGGUCUCUGAUGUGGUACGCCCCAAAACUCGGGGGGCAGACCUCCAGGUUCUGUCACAUCCUGAAAUGCCUCAUGGGAUGGCUCCUCAGCAAAAACAUGGGCCGAAAACACCACCUGUCCCAGUCGACCUAGCCGGAGCCUCUGUCCUGGAGGAGUUCCACCCGAGGAGGCUGGAUGUCAGUGGGGCCCUGGUGGAAGAAACAGCCAUGUACUUUCAAACUUCCGCUCACUCUGCACCAUUAUUUGCACCGAAGGGCACGUCCUCGACGUCACAGUUCCCCCAUCCCGCUCAAUUAUCAGGUUCUCACUCAUCCAGUCUAAGUGCAGUCCAGCAAAAACCUGGCCUGACGUCUGAAGUCCUCAAGAAGACUGUCACCUCGCAUGUCCUUAGUCCCAGAGAAAGUCCGAGAACCUCUUCUCCUUCGCUGCCCUCCGGUGCUUCUCUGAAGUCGAAUUCAGCCUCCUACAUCCCGGUCCGCAUCGUCACGCACUCACUCUCUCCGAGUCCCAAACCCUUCCCCUCCCCUUUCCACGGCUCUUCUUCCACUGUCUGUAGCGAAGUGUCAUCCAGCGGGAACUUCUCAACGUCAGGGGUGAAAUCCCCAGUGCCCUCCCGGCUUUCCCUCCUCACUGCCAUCCUCAAGUCCAACCCUUCUCACCAAAGACCCCUUUCCCCGGCAUCCUGUCCCACCUUCUCUCUCAACUCCCUGGCUUCUUCCAGCCUCACACUCGAUCAAAAAAUUAAACAAACCUCUCCUACGCCUAAAAAAUCCCUCUCAAGUUGCUCCCUGCGAGCGGCGUCUCCAGAGCAAAGGGAAAACCAGGUUUCUGAUCUCAGCCAGCAAUCCUUUCCCUUCCCUUUUUCCACUAAAGCUGCUCCCCUUCCUCUGGCAUCCUCCCUUUCUCCCCCGAAACAGGGCAGUAGCAGCCUUGCUUCUUUGAAUGUAGAGAAAACGCCAUCCCCCACUUCUUUAAAGAGCAGCCCAAUGAUUUCCCAGCUGCAAACCAGUACCUCCAGUUCUACAGGUCUGCCUCCUGUCCCUGCAAGCUUUUCUCCUUUGUUUUCCAAGGGCAGACAGGAUGCUGACCUCAGGGGCCCAGGAAAGCCCAGGGAUAUUUCCCCACAUCCUUCUACGUUAGCCUCGUCGGCGUCGUCUUCGGUGUCUCCUCCCACCAACCCAAGAGCCAGGCUCCCCUCUCCAGAGAAAUGCUACCAUCCUUCCCCAGCUCUUUCAAACCUGAUAAACAGAUCCAAGAGAGCAUCAGCACCUCUCUCUGGCCCGGGGCAGACGCCUUUAGCUCCUCCCCCACACCCUGUCUCCAGCGCUGGCUCUGCCUCUCUUCCCCAACUGGGGUGCUCCGCUCUCCCUCGUGCUAAUGCGCCCACCGAGGUGCGCCACCUCAGUCCCUCAGCGCUGCACCCAAAUCUUACCCUGCCUUCAAGACUUGGGAAAUCCGAAAGCUCCAUAUCUGACCACAGGUCAUCUGUUUCAUCCCCAUCACCUCCCAUCUCUCUAACAAGAACCAACGAGCUGAUUUCACCUUGUGCAUUGUCCAUGUCAACAGGCCCUGAAAAUAAGAAACAUAAGCAAUACAAGACCAAGUCCAGCUACAAGGCUUUUGCAGCAAUCCCAACAAACACAUUGCUUUUGGAACAGAAGGCACUAGACGAACCAGCCAAGACAGAGAGCAUCUCCAAGGACAACACAUUAGAUCCACCUCUGGAGUUGUGUUUCCCUGAACAGCUCAGGCAGCAAACUGAAGAGCUCUGUGCUACCAUUGAUAAGGUCUUACAGGAUUCCUUGUCUAUGCAUUCUUCUGAUUCUCCUUCAAGUUCCCUACAGACAUUUUUGGGUUCUGACACAAUGAAAAUGCCUACAACUCUUCCAAGAGCAGCUGGUCGAGAAACAAAAUAUGCAAACCUCGCCUCGCCAUCUUCUACGGUAUCUGAGAGUCAGCUGACAAAGCCUGGAGUAAUUCGCCCCGUACCUGUAAAAUCCAAAAUAUUACUGAGAAAAGAGGAGGAAGUCUAUGAACCCAACCCUUUCAGUAAAUACCUGGAAGAGCACAGUGACUUCUUUUCUGAUCAGAGAAAACAAUAAAUCCAAAUGAGAAGAGCAAUCAAGAGGGUGCACAGGACAGAAUGAAACAGAGAGCUAAAACUGGAGCAUUAUAAUUUUGGAAGAAAGGAGUUGACUUCCUACUAAAGGGCUGCCAAAUACAUUCUCUUCUUUCUUCCCACCAUGAUGAGAAAUCAGAGAAGCCUCUUUUCUGUGUUACUUUCUAACUUCUUCAACUUAAAUUGCGCCUUUUUCCCCAAAUGAAUCCAUGUCAGAAUGUAGGAUGAAAAUUAAACUAUAUGUAUAGAAAAACAUAAAACUCAGCAUUUUCAUGCUCUAGUGCCCACUGUGAUUGAUUAUAAAAUACUUCCUCUUUCUUUUCUCUUGAGCAUGUCUUAGUCAAAUAUCUUCACACUUUAUCUAUGUUAUCUGCUCUGUGAAACUUGCUUUCAGACAACCACAAACUUUCAGAACUAAAUAGUCCAAAUCCUAUCUUCACAAUUAUGUUUUAGUCCUUUAAUUUUUUUUAAUAGGGAAUUUGAAGUAGCUAAGCAUAUGCUAACUUUUUCAUAUUUAACAAGUUCAAAUUUUUUUGUUCAAGUCAGUGUCUGAAAUAGAUGUGUUGCUUUAAGUAUGUCUGUUUUUAAAAUUCACAUGGAUGCUUUAAAAUUAGGGCUGAUAAGCAAGAAGUUAUGCCAUAUGUUCAAAAUUAAGAGAUCUAAGUUAUCUUGGCUUGAUCUUAGUGAAAUGUAGAUGAUUAGAAUCUCUUCUUAGUAAUUUGGAGUUUCUGAGAUCAUGUCUGUAAAAUGUUGAUACCUCUUUGGCCGAAGGAGGCACUCUUUAAGAAAUACAUUGUAAUCGUCCUUGACUUUAUGAACGGGAUGUUGUUUUAAAUUAAAACUUUAGCAGAAAUGCUAAAAUUCUGAUUUUGGAUUACUAUAGGCUCCAGGCAGGAAAGAAAAGCUGACUAUAAGUGCUGCAUUUAAAAAUGUGUUGUUAAAAAAAGAAAAAAAUUCAUUUUCCCAAAGAGGUGGGAAGAGGGAAGAAAGGAUGGAGUUAAAGGCUCCAGUAAUUUCACGCAGUGGUGCUCUGAGUUUCAAAAGGCACAGAUAACUGUGUGUGGUGUGUAGAGGGGACAGUGAGAGCAAAGGGAAAAUGGAUUUUCACCUUUCACUACCAAACCACAGGAAAGGAGGUUUAAAAAAACAGAUGGAACAAAAGAGCCUCAGAUGUGUAGGCUUUAAUGAAGAGCCCAUAUGCAUUCCAAUGUCCUUUUGAGUGUUGCAAUGGAAAGAGCUUUUAUGGUUAAACAAUUUGACUUGAUGGCUGAGUAGAAAGUGGGCUUCUUCUAGAGUGAUGAAUGCGUCAGAUAUUGCUAUAGCAUUACUUUUAUGAUGUCUCUGUCAAUAUCUAAUUCUACUGUUCUUUUAACAAAUAAAACUAAAUGAAUUUAUUCUCUGCAUGUUUUUGGUAAUCCUUCUGUAAUGAACAAAGAUGUUAUUUACUUCAUAACUUCGUGUGUUCUUGAAGUUUUGCAGGAUAUGAUAAUCAAGCCAAAUUGUCAAUUCUUUUUUAAAAAUAAAGCUCUUAAAUAAA